CAGUCGCCGCGGGAAUACGGAGGGUGCAAGCGUUAAUCGGAAUUACUGGGCGUAAAGCGUGCGUAGGUGGUGGUUUAAGUCCGUUGUGAAAGCCCUGGGCUCAACCUGGGAAUUGCAGUGGAUACUGGGUCACUAGAGUGUGGUAGAGGAUAGUGGAAUUUCCGGUGUAGCAGUGAAAUGCGUAGAGAUCGGAAGGAACAUCUGUGGCGAAGGCGACUAUCUGGGCCAACACUGACACUGAGGCACGAAAGCGUGGGGAGCAAACAGGAUUAGAUACCCGCGUAGUCCCUGUCUCUUAUAU
rnacentral:rRNA from 1 species